CGGGCUGCCUUGGAGUCUGGGCAUCAAGCCCUUUCCGGAGGGCACGGGGACAGCAGAGGCCCCAGUUGCCACCGGAGCCUGGACCCGGGGACUGCACCAGAAAGUCUCCCCCUUCCCGCCUUGGGGAACAAACAACCUGGCCUCACCCCACCCCUACUCGGCUCCCGCAGCUGCUGGUCCUGGCGCAGCCCCCGCCCCUCCCAGCUCAGGCUCAACGCCCCCCGGCACAAGCUCUGUCCCUCCCUGCCUGUCCCCGGCCUGAACUCUGGGCUGGGCUCCGGGCCCAGCUCCGCCACACAGGCCUUGGGCUGAAUGACACCCCCGCCCUGGUGUAUUUCCCCUCCCCUGGCCAAAGGGAGCUUGAGCAGGGCCAAGCCUGCCGCUGUGUUCCUGGGGCUGGGGGCUCCUGAACACCCGGGUUGUCAUUGCAGGCGGCUGAGCACAGGUCCUGCUCAGGUGAUGUGAAGCAGAAGGGCCAGCUGCUCACUGGUUGGUGAUGAGAUCCCAUCGGAUGCUGGAGGAGGAGUCUCGGUCCGGAGUGGCCCAGCAUGAUGACAAGG